AAAAGUCCAGAGUCAUGGGAAGCACAGCUACAAGUGAUGGGAAGGAUUACUGGCAAACCUGUGUGAUUCCCAAAGAAAGAAAAUGCAUCCAGCUCUCUGUUCCACUCUUAAAGCCAUGCACUCAAAAGCUGCAGUGCCUGUCCUCACGCUGAUAGUGCUGCUUUGUCACAAGCUCUCCCUGCUCCCUGUCAAACACUUUAUCUCUUCUCUUCAUGUACAGAUCUUAUUCUCAGAAGAAUUAAAUUGUAAACAUGGAGAAGGUUGGGAACAAGACCUGCUUUUGCACUGGCAGUUUAUGGCAAUUUAUGCUGCAGCUUUUCAGGCAUCGCUCUGGGAAGCCAGCUAUUUUCAACAUGUGAGUGAAAACCAGGGAAAAGUUGAAAACCUUGAAACAACACAUCUAGUUCCUAACAUUGCAUGAUAGAGAGGCCACACAAGAGUUUCAAAGCUGGAUUACAAGCACUGAGUAUCACCAAAUGCACAGCAUGACGCAGCCAGGAAGCUGAAGCAGCGGAGGGAGCGUUGCCUUGCCCUUUAUUACUGCCAGGAGCAGAAUAUUCCCAGCUCCCUACGUCGGACAGCCGGCCGGCAUCACUUCCAGAAGAGCCAGUGGGCACUGGGUGACAAAUCUCACAGCUAACCAUUGACUCAAAUAAAGGCACUGCUGCUGCCAGCCCAGCAGGGACCAUCCCAGCCUGGCUGUGUCCCAUACAGGGGGGAGCACGUCCAGCUGUGUGGCACUUCCAUGCAGCUGUGUGGCACUUCCAUCCAGCUGGGUGGCACUUCCAUCCAGCAGUCACAAGGCUAAUGCCAUGUUGGGCUGUAACCGGUGAGAGUCCCAGGGGCUUUGAGACAGCCAUGGGCACCCCACUGCUGCCUGGCUGGGCCUUGGCUGGGGAGCACAGACCCACGCUCCCUCUUGGCCCCAUUAACAGCUGGCUCAGGGUCUUUAGCCCUGCCCUCAAGCACCAAUAAAUUACAUCAGCCUUCCUUGUCUGUAAAAUGCAUAUCCUUAUUUGGGAAAUAGUUUGCAGCAGGCAGUGAGGCUUUUAUGUAAGCGCUAAAACCAUUACUAUUGCACUUGCAGUGCUCAAAUUUGUCUCACAACUUAAACUCAAAUGUAUUUUAUUUAAAACCCCCAAGCACUUAGGCUUCCGUAAACAAUAGUAGGGACUACUUUCCUUAAUA